rnacentral:rRNA from 1 species
CGGAGGGAUCAUUAAAGAGUUCUAUAACUCCCAAACCCAUGUGAACAUACCUAACGUUGCCUCGGCAGGUCGCACCUACCUUGUAGCACCCUACCCUGUAGGGCCUACCCGGGAGGUGCGGGUAAGCCUGCCGGCGGCCCACCAAACUCUGUUUGAUAUUGAAUUCUGAACCUAUAACUAAAUAAGUUAAAACUUUCAACAACGGAUCUCUUGGUUCUGGCAUCGAUGAAGAACGCAGCGAAAUGCGAUAAGUAAUGUGAAUUGCAGAAUUCAGUGAAUCAUCGAAUCUUUGAACGCAUAUUGCGCCCAUUAGUAUUCUAGUGGGCAGGACCGUUCGAGCGUCAUUUCAACCCUUAAGCCUUCGUUGCUUAGUGUUGGGAGCCUACGGCAACGUAGCUCCUCAAAGUUAGUGGCGGAGUUGGUUCACACUCUAGACGUAGUAAUUUUUUAUCUCGCCUAUUAGUUGGACUAAUCCCCUGCCGUAAAACCCCCAAUUUAUCAAGGUUGACCUCGAAUCGGUUCAGACAAACUCGCUAAAUUGAAGCAUCUUAGUCAGCGAAGGAAAAGAAACCAACAGGGAUUGCCCUAGUAACGGCGAGUGAAGCGGCAACAGCUCAAAUUUGAAAUCU